UACAGAGGUCUCAAGCGUUGUUCGGAUUCAUUGGGCGUAAAGGGUGCGUAGGCGGCGAGGUAAGUCGGAUGUGAAAUCCCGGGGCUCAACCCCGGAACUGCAUUCGAUACUGCUUUGCUUGAGUACUGGAGAGGAGACUGGAAUUUACGGUGUAGCAGUGAAAUGCGUAGAUAUCGUAAGGAAGACCAGUGGCGAAGGCGGAC
rnacentral:rRNA from 1 species